UACGUAAGGUACAAGCGUUAAUCAGAAUUACUGGGCGUAAAGCGUGCGCAAGCGGUUCUAUAAGACAGAUGUGAAAUCCCCGGACUCAACCUAGGAACUGCAUUUGUGACUGUAGAGCUGGAGUACGGUAGAAGGGGAUGGAAUUCCGCGUGUAGCAGUGAAAUGCGUAGAUAUGCGGAAGAACACCGAUGGCGAAGGCAAUCCCCUGGACCUGUACUGACGCUCAUGCACGAAAGCGUGAGGAGCAAACAGG
rnacentral:rRNA from 1 species